AACGAACGCUGGCGGCAUGCCUAACACAUGCGAGUCGAACGAGAUCCUUCGGGGUCUAGUGGCGCACGGGUGCGUAACGCGUGGGAAUCUGCCCUUAGGUUCGGAAUAACAGUUAGAAAUGACUGCUAAUACCGGAUGAUGACGUUAAGUCCAAAGAUUUAUCGCCUGAGGAUGAGCCCGCGUAGGAUUAGCUAGUUGGUGUGGUAAAGGCGCACCAAGGCGACGAUCCUUAGCUGGUCUGAGAGGAUGAUCAGCCACACUGGGACUGAGACACGGCCCAGACUCCUACGGGAGGCAGCAGUGGGGAAUAUUGGACAAAGGGCGCAAGCCUGAUCCAGCAAUGCCGCGUGAGUGAUGAAGGCCUUAGGGUUGUAAAGCUCUUUUACCCGGGAUGAUAAUGACAGUACCGGGAGAAUAAGCCCCGGCUAACUCCGUG
rnacentral:rRNA from 1 species